rnacentral:misc_RNA from 1 species
UCCGGUUUGACACCGGCAGUCCCACUAGAGUCCCCGGCAUGACCCGCUGGCAACUAAUGGUAAGGGUUUCGCUCGUUAAGGGACUUAACCCGACAUCUCACGACACGAGCUGACGACAGCCAUGCAGCACCUGUGGUAGCUUCCGGAUUGGAUACCGUUCGUUCGAGUUUCCCCGUUCUACCUGCUACCUCUUUCGAACAUGUCAAGUCUAGGAUAAGGUUCUUCGCGUAGCCUCGAAUUAAGCCACAUGCUCCACCGCUUGUGUGAGCCCCCGUCAAUUUCUUUGAGUUUCAGCCUUGCGGCCAUACUCCCCAGGCGGAGAACUUAGCACUUUUGCUUCGGCAGUAAACCCAAGUCAAGUCUACUACCUAGUUCUCAUCGUUUAGGGCUAGGACUA